UACGAAGGGGGCUAGCGUUGCUCGGAAUCACUGGGCGUAAAGCGCACGUAGGCGGAUUGCUAAGUCAGGGGUGAAAUCCUGGAGCUCAACUCCAGAACUGCCUUUGAUACUGGCGACCUUGAGUCCGGGAGAGGUGAGUGGAACUGCGAGUGUAGAGGUGAAAUUCGUAGAUAUUCGCAAGAACACCAGUGGCGAAGGCGGCUCACUGGCCCGGUACUGACGCUGAGGUGGCGAAAGCGUGGGGAGCAAACAGGG
rnacentral:rRNA from 1 species